ensembl:lncRNA
UUCUGUGAAUUCUGUCUCGAGUCUACGGAUGUAUCCGUGUAUUUCCGUGGUGCUGAUGCUGCGCUGAGUGGACAGCUCCUGAAGCUCUUGAAGUGUCGAAAUGCAGAAAUUUCAAUAUCACUUGAAAAAACUGCCAGCUAGCAACGUCCCUCUCACCAGUAGGCUAAGUUAUUUUUAACCAAUUACAAGUUGAAUCUGGUAGUUGGGUUGUUAGCUAAGAUGGAUGAUCUGAUAUCGUGCUAGCUAAGAUACCGUCAUUAAGAAGCGGCAUAACGAAUGUGUCUGUGUGAGCUAAUUUGCGAUGUGCAUCGCUGGCCCAGCCAUUUAUUUUUUUAUGCACCUUCUCAGAUUAAUUCACUGCGUCUUGUGCCAUCAGUUAACCGUUCGCGUGCCAGCUGUGGCACGAGUGCCCCUGCUUUAGAGACGUGUGUCUUCCUCCAGUCUCAGCCUAUCUGCACCUGAGAGAUUUGGUCAUCAGCCAGUUCCCAUUUAAGCCGAGGAAGAUAUUUAUUCAAUGCUGGAUUGUUGACUAGAAUCCCAGGCUGAGUAAAUGUUCUCACUGGGUUGUGGACUUGUUUCUGGUGUUUCUUUUGACCAGGCCCGUGGCGAGGAUUGGAGCCUUCAGGACACCCAGCUGUCUCAGAACCCAGUCGCAAAGAUUGUUGCUUUUCUGUGUGAUCAUGUGUCACUGUAAAUAAACACACUGUACUGAAGAUUUAAGAUUCUGCUUUUUGAGUCCUUCCCUGAUCACUAACCAUGACAAAAAUCAUCUGGAUUUAACAGAA